ensembl:snoRNA U3 Small nucleolar RNA U3
UAGACUAUACUUUCAGGGAUCAUUUCUAUUGUUCGCUAGUAGAGAAAUUGCUCUGAACAUGUAGAGCAGAAACCACAAAGAGGAGGCGCACCAUCCUCUCCUGAGCGUGUUGCUUCCCUGCAACGGCCUUUGCAUUGAUGAUCGUUCUUUUCCUCUGCAAGAGUAAGAGGGGAAGGACACAGUCUGAAUGGG